AUGAUGACGCCGUCCCAGCAUGAAGGGUGAUGACCUCACGACGAUCUGA
rnacentral:snoRNA from 1 species